rnacentral:rRNA from 1 species
AGGCUGCAUAUCGGUAGGGGAGCAUUCUGAACUGCAUUGAAGGUGUACCGCGAGGUAUGUUGGAGCGUUCAGAAAAGAAAAUGUAGGCAUAAGUAACGAUAAAGAAGAUGAAAAAUCUUCUCGCCGUAAGACUAAGGGUUCCUGAUCAACGCUAAUCGGAUCAGGGUUAGUCGGGUCCUUAGGCAAACCCGAGAGGGGUAGCUGAUGGCAAAAUGGUGAAUAUUCCAUUACCUGCUUUAAUUUCGACGGGGUAACGGAGACGUGAAAGGACUGCGUAGUUACGGAAUACUACGUUAAAGAGUGUAGUUAAAGGUUGAGUAGGCAAAUCCGCUCGAACUGGCGAACUCGAUAGUACGGCAAAGCUUCGGCAGCGCUGAUAAUGUCCCUAAACAGGCUUCCAAGAAAAACCCCUAAGGCUAGGUUAAAGCAGCCCGUACCGUAAACCGACACAGGUAGUCGAGGAGAAUAUCCUAAGGCGCUCGAGUGAUCCGUGGUAAAGGAACUAGGCAAAUUGACGCUGUAACUUCGGGAUAAGGCGUACCGCAGUGAUGCGGUCUCAGUAAAAUGGUCCAACCAACUGUUUAACAAAAACACAGGGCCCUGCAAAAUCGUAAGAUGAAGUAUAGAGCCUGAUACCUGCCCGGUGCUGGAAGGUUAAGGAAGGGUGUUCGUAGCAAUACAAAGCUCCUGACUGAAGCCCCAGUAAACGGCGGCCGUAACUAUAACGGUCCUAAGGUAGCGAAAUUCCUUGUCGGGUAAGUUCCGACCUGCACGAAUGGUCUAAUGAGUUGGACACUGUCUCUACCACGAGCUCGGUGAAAUUGUAGUAUCGGUGAAGAUGCCGGUUAAUCGCAACGGGACGGAAAGACCCCGUGAACCUUCACUACAACUUAACAUUGAUUUUGAGUAAUAGGUGUGUAGGAUAGUUGGGAGACUAUGAAGCAGCUUCGCCAGGAGUUGUGGAGUCAUCGUUGAAAUACCAACCUCCUGUUACUUAGAGUCUAAUCCGUGAAAACGGAGACAUUGUUUGGUGGGUAGUUUGACUGGGGUGGUCGCCUCCUAAAAAGUAACGGAGGCUCGCAAAGGUACCCUCAGUACGGUUGGUAAUCGUACG